AUUGAACGCUGGCGGCAGGCCUAACACAUGCAAGUCGAGCGGAUGAAGGGAGCUUGCUCCUGGAUUCAGCGGCGGACGGGUGAGUAAUGCCUAGGAAUCUGCCUGGUAGUGGGGGAUAACGUCCGGAAACGGGCGCUAAUACCGCAUACGUCCUGAGGGAGAAAGUGGGGGAUCUUCGGACCUCACGCUAUCAGAUGAGCCUAGGUCGGAUUAGCUAGUUGGUGGGGUAAAGGCCUACCAAGGCGACGAUCCGUAACUGGUCUGAGAGGAUGAUCAGUCACACUGGAACUGAGACACGGUCCAGACUCCUACGGGAGGCAGCAGUGGGGAAUAUUGGACAAUGGGCGAAAGCCUGAUCCAGCCAUGCCGCGUGUGUGAAGAAGGUCUUCGGAUUGUAAAGCACUUUAAGUUGGGAGGAAGGGCAGUAAGUUAAUACCUUGCUGUUUUGACGUUACCACAGAAUAGCACCGC
rnacentral:rRNA from 1 species